UCCUGGGGGAAUAAAGGGGGCACAUGAACAGCACUGAUGGAUGAAUGAAAGAGAAAUAAUGGCCUCUUUGUUACGUGCAGCCAUUGUGAGUUUCUUACUGGUCCCGCUGUGACCAAUCCAGACACAGCCCGGAGGCAAAACUCGAGCACCACCAAGGAGGCCACACGGGAGCCCACUACAGCCAGUAUCCCAGUCACGAUGACAAACUGGAGCAUCCCAUUCCUGUCUCAGCGUUGAGCCUGUUCUAUGUCCUGUACCAAAGGUCAUCUGAGCGUCAGUGGUGCAGAGGCCCCCAGCAGCCUGAGUCAUAACAAGAUAAUGGAGGCUGUUGCACCAUGUGUGUCAGAGCA